rnacentral:misc_RNA from 1 species
GAAAUGCGAUAAGUAAUGUGAAUUGCAGAAUUCAGUGAAUCAUCGAAUAUUUGAACGCACAUUGCGCCCGCCAGCAUUCUGGCGGGCAUGCCUGUUCGAGCGUCAUUUCAACCCUCGAGCCCCCCCGGGGGCCUCGGUGUUGGGGGACGGCACACCAGCCGCCCCCGAAAUGCAGUGGCGACCCCGCCGCAGCCUCCCCUGCGUAGUAGCACACACCUCGCACCGGAGCGCGGAGGCGGUCACGCCGUAAAACGCCCAACUUUCUUAGAGUUGACCUCGGAUCAGGUAGGAAUACCCGCUGAACUUAAGC